UCUUCGUAGGUGAACCUGCGAAGGGAUCAUUACUGAGUUUAAGAGGUCUAAACAACCUCGAACUCCCACCCUUUUGUACGAAAAAUCCCUUUAAUCAUUAACGGGGGAUAUCAGCAUACGCAAGUAUGUUGUCCCCCGUGUGAACAAUUAUACUCUGUUUUAAUUAUAAGUCUGAGUCAAAAGUUUAAAUCUAAACAAAACUUUCAACAACGGAUCUCUUGGUUCUGGCAUCGAUGAAGAACGCAGC
rnacentral:misc_RNA from 1 species